rnacentral:tRNA from 1 species
AUUUAUCUAGCUCAGUCUGUAGGGCAUGGGCCUCUCAAUCCUCAGGAUUGUGGGUUCAAGCCCCAUGUUGGGUG